AUGAACGCUGGCGGCGUGCCUAAUCCCUGCAAGUCGAGCGAACGGACGAGAAGCUUGCUUCUCUGAUGUUAGCGGCGGACGGGUGAGUAACACGUGGAUAACCUACCUAUAAGACUGGGAUAACUUCGGGAAACCGGAGCUAAUACCGGAUAAUAUUUUGAACCGCAUGGUUCAAAAGUGAAAGACGGUCUUGCUGUCACUUAUAGAUGGAUCCGCGCUGCAUUAGCUAGUUGGUAAGGUAACGGCUUACCAAGGCAACGAUGCAUAGCCGACCUGAGAGGGUGAUCGGCCACACUGGAACUGAGACACGGUCCAGACUCCUACGGGAGGCAGCAGUAGGGAAUCUUCCGUAAUGGGCGAAAGCCUGACGGAGCAACGCCGCGUGAGUGAUGAAGGUCUUCGGAUCGUAAAACUCUGUUAUUAGGGAAGAACAUAUGUGUAAGUAACUGUGCACAUCUUGACGGUACCUAAUCAGAAAGCCACGGCUAACUACGUG
rnacentral:rRNA from 1 species